rnacentral:lncRNA from 1 species
GAAUUUUCCUCUUUUUUCAAACUUGAGAAGCAAAAGUGCCAUAACAAUGGUGAAACGAUUCAGAGGAAGAAUGUCAGCUUUUGACAAGUCAACUUUUAUCUCACUUGAAGUGACUGGAAGAAAUCAGCAGAUGAAAGGAAAAUUGAUGAUUGAUGAGGCCUUCGGCACAAAAAGUCGUAUCUAGGUGACACAGAAGACUGAAGAGGUAUACAGAAGGAGAAAUGUUUCUCCCCCAGAUGCUGUCAUGCCUGAGAAGUAGUCAUGUUAAGAGGAUGACAACGUACUUUGGAGGACUAACAAUUGUUCAGGGCAAGACUACGGACAAAGAAAAUACAAAUUUAAAAGGCAGAGAGAAUGAAAGAAGGUAUAUGACAAAGUUUCACUCUUGUUGCCCAGGCUGGACUACAAUGGCGUGA